GUGAGGAAUAUUGGUCAAUGGGCGAGAGCCUGAACCAGCCAAGUCGCGUGAGGGACGACGGCCCUACGGGUUGUAAACCUCUUUUGCCGGGGGACAAACGGCGGCACGCGUGCCGUCCUGAGGGUACCCGGAGAAAAAGCAUCGGCUAACUCCGUGCCAGCAGCCGCGGUAAUACGGAGGAUGCGAGCGUUAUCCGGAUUUAUUGGGUUUAAAGGGUGCGUAGGCGGGAUGCCAAGUCAGCGGUCAAAUACGGGGGCUCAACCUGCGUCCGCCGUUGAAACUGGCGUUCUUGAGUGGGCGAGAAGUACGCGGAAUGCGUGGUGUAGCGGUGAAAUGCAUAGAUAUCACGCAGAACCCCGAUUGCGAAGGCAGCGUACCGGCGCCCGACUGACGCUGAAGCACGAAAGCGUGGGUAUCGAACAGGA
rnacentral:rRNA from 1 species